rnacentral:rRNA from 1 species
CACGUAGGGCGCAAGCGUUGUCCGGAAUUAUUGGGCGUAAAGAGCUCGUAGGCGGUCUGUUGCGUCCGCUGUGAAAACUCGGGGCUUAACCCCGAGCCUGCAGUGGAUACGGGCAGACUAGAGGUAGGUAGGGGAGAAUGGAAUUCCCGGUGUAGCGGUGAAAUGCGUAGAUAUCGUGAGGAAGACCAGUGGCGAAGGCGGGUCUCUGGACAGUUCCUGACACUGAGGCACGAAGGCCAGGGGAGCAAACGGG